rnacentral:tRNA from 1 species
GGGGAUUUGGCUCAAUGGUAGAGCACUUGCCUAGGAAGCGCAAGGUCCUGGGUUCGGUCCCCAGCCCCG